rnacentral:rRNA from 1 species
UUCGAGUGGCGGACGGGUGAGUAACGCGUGGGUAACCCGCCUUACACAGGGGGAUAACACCUGGAAACAGGUGCUAAUACCGCAUAAGCGCACAGGGCCGCAUGGCCCGGUGUGAAAAACUCCGGUGGUGUAAGAUGGACCCGCGUCUGAUUAGCUUGUUGGCGGGGUAGGGGCCCACCAAGGCGACGAUCAGUAGCCGGCCUGAGAGGGUGGACGGCCACAUUGGGACUGAGACACGGCCCAAACUCCUACGGAAGGCAGCAG